rnacentral:lncRNA from 1 species
UUUCUCAGCCAACAGCUGAAUCUCCCUGUUCUGAGGUGGAGCAUUAUAAGGCACGAAAGGUUCAUUCUGCAUUGAGAAUUGAUCAGCCUCUCUAUCUUCCUCCUGGUCUUCAUCGAAUCCGUAGAACGGAGGCACAAAGUUAUCCUUCUGAUUCUGACCCGGUUGGCCACCAGCACCACCAAGACCACCAACAUUAUUCACGAGACCCACAAUU